UGGGGAAUAUUGGACAAUGGGGGCAAUCCUGAUCCACCCAUGCCGCGUGUGUGAAGAAGGCCUUUUGGUUGUAAAGCACUUUAAUCAGGGAGGAGAGGUUAAUGGUUAAUACCCCUUAGACUUGACGGUACCUCCCCAAAAAACCCCGGCUAACUUUGUGCCAGCAGCCGCGGUAAUACAGAGGGGGCGAGCGUUUUUCGGAAUUAUUGGGCGUAAAGGGCUUGCAGGGGGGUUUUUAAAUCACAUGUGAAAUCCCCCGGCUUAACCUGGGAGGUUCAUUUGAAACUGGGGAAGCUAGAAUAUGGGAGGGGGAGGUAGAAUUCCAGGGUUAGCGGGGAAAUGGGUAAAAAUUGGGAGGAAUCCCGAUGGGGAAGGCAGCCUCCGGGCAUAAUAUUGACCUUGGGAUUGGAAAGGUGGGGGAGCAAACAGGAUUAAAUACCCUGGUAGUCCCCCCCGUAAAGGAUGUUUAUUAGCCGUUGGGGUCUCUGAGCCUUUAGUGGCGCAGCUAACGCGAUAAG
rnacentral:rRNA from 1 species